rnacentral:snoRNA from 1 species
GGGUCAUGUGAUGAGAGAAUACUGCAACAAUAUGACCGAUUUAAUUCUGUGAUUCAUUGUAUUUAAGUCUCUGAGGACC